UUCCCCAGGUCCUCGCUGUCUUCGAACCUACACACAUUGGGCGGCAUCGAAAUGUUAAAUAACGGUGGUGGUAUGGGGAUGGGAAUGGGAAUAAUGGGUCAAGUUCAUCAGCCUUACUUCCCAGCAGCUGCUGGUGGUGGUGGUGGUGGUGGUGGUGGUCAGCAGUUGAUGAUGAUGCCUAAGCAAGAGAGGAGAGAUGAUAAUGUGUACAAUUCUUCUAGCACAUCCUCGUCGGUAUUGAACCAACGCAUUAUGGGGAAGUUUGCAUCUUAAUUCUAAUGAUAGGCAGGGAAGAACGAAGAGGAAGGGAAAUACAGAGACUUGAAAGUAGACAGAACGAUAAAGUUGAAAAAGCAAAGAGGAGUUUUGGUUAUUUCACUCACUGCCAGUGCUAAUUAGGGUGGCGAGUUCUUUUGGUUUAUGUUAUUCGGAGGAUAUACCUGUAGAAAGAAAGAAAGAAAGAAAGGGUUAGAUAAGAGUUUUUAUUAGUAGCAGUCUAGCAGAAAAUACAAGGAGAAAACUCAAAGUAGAAGCAGCAGCAGCAGCAGCAGCAGCAGCAGCAGCAGCA
rnacentral:lncRNA from 1 species